rnacentral:tRNA from 1 species
GCGGGUGUAGCUCAAUGGUAGAGCAGAAGCCUUCCAAGCUUACGAUGAGGUUCGAUCCCUUCACCCGCU